rnacentral:tRNA from 1 species
GCCCCAGUGGCCAAGUGGUAAGGCGUUCGAUUUGUAAUCGAAAAAUCGUUGGUUCAAAUCCAACCUGGGGCU